AGUGAACGCUGGCGGUGGGCCUAACACAUGCAAGUCGAGCGAGUGGCGGACGUGUGAGGAAUACAUCGGAAUCUACUCUGUCGUUGGGGAUAACUUGGGGAAACUGACGCUAUUACCGCAUACGAGUGACUGAGCCGUGGUGGGAUUAGCUAGUUGGCGGGGUAAAGGCCCACCAAGGCGACGAGCCGUAGCUGGUCUGAGAGGAUGAUCAGCCAAACUGGAACUGAGACACGGUCCAGACUCCUACGGGAGGCAGCAGUGGGGAAUAUUGGACAAUGGGCGAAAGCCUGAUGCAGCCAUACCGCGUGGGUGAAGAAGGCCUUCGGGUUGUAAAGCCCUUUUGUUGGGGAAGCGGUACCCAAAGAAUAAGCACCGGCUAACUUCGUGCCAGCAGCCGCGGUAAUAC
rnacentral:rRNA from 1 species